rnacentral:rRNA from 1 species
AUUGAACGCUGGCGGCAUGCCUUACACAUGCAAGUCGAACGGCAGCACGGGAGCAAUCCUGGUGGCGAGUGGCGAACGGGUGAGUAAUAUAUCGGAACGUGCCCAGUCGUGGGGGAUAACGCAGCGAAAGCUGUGCUAAUACCGCAUACGAUCUACGGAUGAAAGCGGGGGAUCGCAAGACCUCGCGCGAUUGGAGCGGCCGAUAUCAGAUUAGGUAGUUGGUGGGGUAAAAGCCUACCAAGCCGACGAUCUGUAGCUGGUCUGAGAGGACGACCAGCCACACUGGGGCUGAGGCGCGGCCCAGACUCCUACGGGCGGCAGCAGUGGGGAAGUUUGGACAAUGUGCGCAAGCCUGAUCCAGCAAUGCCGCGUGCAGGAUGAAGGCCUUCGGGUUGUAAACUGCUUUUGUACGGAGCGAAAAGGCUCUCUCUAAUACAGGGGGCUCAUGACGGUACCGUAAGAAUAAGCACCGGCUAACUACGUGCCAGCAGCCGCCGUAA